rnacentral:rRNA from 1 species
UGGGGAAUAUUGGACAAUGGGCGAAAGCCUGAUCCAGCAAUGCCGCGUGAGUGAUGAAGGCCUAGGGUUGUAAAGCUCUUUUACCCGGGAUGAUAAUGACAGUACCGGGAGAAUAAGCUCCGGCUAACUACGUGCCAGCAGCCGCGGUAAUACGGAGGGAGCUAGCGUUAUUCGGAAUUACUGGGCGUAAAGCGCACGUAGGCGGCUUUGUAAGUUAGAGGUGAAAGCCUGGAGCUCAACUCCAGAAUUGCCUUUUAAGACUGCAUCGCUUGAAUCCAGGAGAGGUGAGUGGAAUUCCGAGUGUAGAGGUGAAAUUCGUAGAUAUUCGGAAGAACACCAGUGGCGAAGGCGGCUCACUGGACUGGUAUUGACGCUGAGGUGCGAAAGCGUGGGGAGCAAACAGGAUUAGAUACCCCCAGUAGUC